rnacentral:rRNA from 1 species
AUUGAACGCUGGCGGAAUGCUUUACACAUGCAAGUCGAACGGUAGAGGGGGCAACCCCUCGAGAGUGGCGAACGGGUGAGUAAUAUAUCGGAACGUGCCCAGUCGUGGGGGAUAACGUAGCGAAAGUUACGCUAAUACCGCAUACGAUCUACGGAUGAAAGCGGGGGAUCGCAAGACCUCGCGCGAUUGGAGCGGCCGAUAUCAGAUUAGGUAGUUGGGGGGGUAAAGGCUCACCAAGCCAACGAUCUGUAGCUGGUCUGAGAGGACGACCAGCCACACUGGAACUGAGACACGGUCCAGACUCCUAUGGGAGGCAGUAGUGGGGAAUUUUGGACAAUGGACGCAAGUCUGAUCCAGCCAUUCCGCGUGCAGGAUGAAGGCCCUCGGGUUGUAAACUGCUUUUGUACGGAACGAAAAGGUUUCCAUUAAUACUGGGAGCUCAUGACGGUACCGUAAGAAUAAGCACCGGCUAACUACGUGCCAGCCGCCGCCGUAA